AGCAGCCGCGGUAAUUCCAGCUCCAAUAGCGCAUAUUAAAGUUGUUGCAGUUAAAAAGCUCGUAGUUGAACUUCGGGGUCUACCCAUUGGUCAGGCUUAAUUGUCUGCACUGGUGAGAUGGAUCUCUACCUUCUGAGGAACUUUCAUGCCAUUUAUUUGGUGUGAUGGGAAAUCAGGACUGUUACUUUGAAAAAUUAGAGUGUUUAAAGCAGACUAUCGUCUGAAUACAUUAGCAUGGAAUAAUGAAAUAGGACGGACUGAUUCUAUUCGUGGUUCUAGGAUC
rnacentral:misc_RNA from 1 species